rnacentral:sRNA from 1 species
CAGAAGAAAGAAUUCCUCUCUUUUUAACACUGAAGAAACAUGAUGACAAUAUUGGGUGUCACACUGAAUUCAGGAAAACAGAACAUUUUGCCAAGGAUGAAAACAUUAUUUGAAGCCCUUCACCAGGAGCAAAUGCUAUCAUUUCACAACAGAUGGAAAAACACUACAGAAAAUAGCAUCAAAGAUAUCUUUGCCAUAGAAUCUUAAAAAUCAGGUUCCAAGCAUAAAUAAUGGCAUUUAUGAGUAUACUUGCAGAGAUCAAUUUUAAAUUUGUAUGUUAAAGAGAAUAUACUGAGACAAGAGGAGAGUUCAGUGGCACAGAUAUGCACCAGAAUGCGGCUUAAGUGGUUUCUUCAGCACUAGAAAAAUUAAAGAUUAAUAUUUUGCCAAGAACCAUGUCUUGGGAGAUACUAAAACUAACAAAAAAAGAUGGAAAAACGAUCAAAUUGGGCCAAGCGAAAGGUUUCAUGGAGUAUCCCCAAUUGAUGAGUGCAGAAUGAAGCUAAGAAACAUGCUCCCUGAGAGCUAAGUCUUCCUCCAAGCACGCCAGGGAGGAGCAAAGCCAUAGUGCCAAAGCCCAGCAUCAUGGCCCUAAAAUGAGAGAUGCAUACAGUCCUUGAUACUUUAGAAAAUUAAAUAAAGGUUCCCAUGGGG